rnacentral:rRNA from 1 species
GACGAACGCUGGCGGCGUGCUUAACACAUGCAAGUCGAGCGGAGCGGCGAACGUGUGAGUAACGCGUGAGUAACUGCCCCCCUCUCUGGGGAAACAGUUGGAAACGGUUGCUAAUACCGGAUAGUGGGGGAUGACUCGCGUCCUAUGAGCGUGUUGGCGGGGUAGUGGCCUACCAAGGCGACGACGGGUAGCCGGCCUGAGAGGGCGACCGGCAACAUGGGGCGUUGAUACGGCCCAUCAUCGUACGGGAGGCAGCAGUGGGGAAUAUUGCACAAUGGGGGAAACCCUGAUGCAGCAACGCCGCGUGCGGGAGGACGGCCUUCGGGUUGUAAACCGCUUUCAGCCAUGACGCGGUAGUGGCAGAAGAAGCACCGGCUAACUACGUGCCAGCAGCCGCGGUAAUAC